GGCUCGCCAGGGCGCGGGAGGCUCCGCCGUCGAUGGCCGCGAGCAGCGCGUUCCUCGACGCGUCGGACUGUUCGGCGAGGUCGCGGACCC
rnacentral:tRNA from 1 species